GACGAACGCUGGCGGCGUGCCUAAUACAUGCAAGUCGAACGCUGAAGGAGGAGCUUGCUUCUCUGGAUGAGUUGCGAACGGGUGAGUAACGCGUAGGUAACCUGCCUGGUAGCGGGGGAUAACUAUUGGAAACGAUAGCUAAUACCGCAUAAUAGUAGAUGUUGCAUGACAUUUGCUUAAAAGGUGCAAUUGCAUCACUACCAGAUGGACCUGCGUUGUAUUAGCUUGUUGGUGGGGUAACGGCUCACCAAGGCGACGAUACAUAGCCGACCUGAGAGGGGGAUCGGCCACACUGGGACUGAGACACGGCCCAGACUCCUACGGGAGGCAGCAGUAGGGAAUCUUCGGCAAUGGACGGAAGUCUGACCGAGCAACGCCGCGUGAGUGAAGAAGGUUGUCGGAUCGUAAAGCUCUGUUGUAAGAGAAGAACGAGUGUGAGAGUGGAAAGUUCACACUGUGACGGUAUCUUACCAGAAAGGGACGGCUAACUACGUG
rnacentral:rRNA from 1 species